rnacentral:rRNA from 1 species
UAGAGUUUGAUCCUGGCUCAGGAUGAACGCUAGCGGCAGGCUUAACACAUGCAAGUCGAGGGGUAUAUGUCUUCGGAUAUAGAGACCGGCGCACGGGUGCGUAACGCGUAUGCAAUCUACCUUUUACAGAGGGAUAGCCCAGAGAAAUUUGGAUUAAUACCUCAUAGCAUAGUGACUCGGCAUCGAGAUACUAUUAAAGUCACAACGGUAAAAGAUGAGCAUGCGUCCCAUUAGCUAGUUGGUAAGGUAACGGCUUACCAAGGCUACGAUGGGUAGGGGUCCUGAGAGGGAGAUCCCCCACACUGGUACUGAGACACGGACCAGACUCCUACGGGAGGCAGCAGUGAGGAAUAUUGGACAAUGGGCGCAAGCCUGAUCCAGCCAUGCCGCGUGCAGGAUGACGGUCCUAUGGAUUGUAAACUGCUUUUGUACGAGAAGAAACACUCCUUCGUGAAGGAGCUUGACGGUAUCGUAAGAAUAAGGAUCGGCUAACUCCGUGCCAGCAGCCGCGGUAAUACGGAGGAUCCAAGCGUUAUCCGGAAUCAUUGGGUUUAAAGGGUCCGUAGGCGGUUUAGUAAGUCAGUGGUGAAAGCCCAUCGCUCAACGGUGGAACGGCCAUUGAUACUGCUAAACUUGAAUUAUUAGGAAGUAACUAGAAUAUGUAGUGUAGCGGUGAAAUGCUUAGAGAUUACAUGGAAUACCAAUUGCGAAGGCAGGUUACUACUAAUGGAUUGACGCUGAUGGACGAAAGCGUGGGUAGCGAACAGGAUUAGAUACCCUGGUAGUCCACGCCGUAAACGAUGGAUACUAGCUGUUGGAAGCAAU